rnacentral:rRNA from 1 species
GACGUAGGAGGCGAGCGUUGUCCGGAUUCAUUGGGCGUAAAGAGCACGCAGGCGGUUUGGCAAGUCGGAUGUGAAAACCCGAAGCUCAACUUCGAGCGUGCAUCCGAAACUGCCCGACUAGAGGUAGGUAGGGGAGAUCGGAAUUCCUGGUGUAGCGGUGAAAUGCGCAGAUAUCAGGAGGAACACCGGUGGCGAAGGCGGAUCUCUGGGCCUUACCUGACGCUCAGGUGCGAAAGCUAGGGGAGCGAACAGG